GCCGAGAUAGCUCAUAUGGCAGAGCGGCGCACUCGUAAUGCGCAGGUGCCGGGUUCGAUUCCCGGUCUCGGCU
rnacentral:tRNA from 1 species